rnacentral:rRNA from 1 species
AAUUCCUGGUGUAGCGGUGAAAUGCGCAGAUAUCAGGAGGAACACCGAUGGCGAAGGCAGGUCUCUGGGCAUUAACUGACGCUGAGGAGCGAAAGCAUGGGGAGCGAACAGGAUUAGAUACCCUGGUAGUCCAUGCCGUAAACGUUGGGCACUAGGUGUGGGGGACAUUCCACGUUUUCCGCGCCGUAGCUAACGCAUUAAGUGCCCCGCCUGGGGAGUACGGCCGCAAGGCUAAAACUCAAAGGAAUUGACGGGGGCCCGCACAAGCGGCGGAGCAUGCGGAUUAAUUCGAUGCAACGCGAAGAACCUUACCAAGGCUUGACAUGAACCGGUAAUACCUGGAGACAGGUGCCCCGCUUGCGGUCGGUUUACAGGUGGUGCAUGGUUGUCGUCAGCUCGUGUCGUGAGAUGUUGGGUUAAGUCCCGCAACGAGCGCAACCCUCGUUCUAUGUUGCCAGCACGUGAUGGUGGGGACUCAUAGGAGACUGCCGGGGUCAACUCGGAGGAAGGUGGGGACGACGUCAAAUCAUCAUGCCCCUUAUGUCUUGGGCUUCACGCAUGCUACAAUGGCCGGUACAAAGGGUUGCGAUACUGUGAGGUGGAGCUAAUCCCAAAAAGCCGGUCUCAGUUCGGAUUGGGGUCUGCAACUCGACCCCAUGAAGUCGGAGUCGCUAGUAAUCGCAGAUCAGCAACGCUGCGGUGAAUACGUUCCCGGGCCUUGUACACACCGCCCGUCAAGUCACGAAAGUUGGUAACACCCGAAGCCGGUGA